rnacentral:rRNA from 1 species
AACGAACGCUGGCGGCAGGCCUAACACAUGCAAGUCGAACGCUCUAGCAAUAGAGAGUGGCAGACGGGUGAGUAACGCGUGGGAAACUUCCUAGGGGUACGGAAUAGCUCAGGGAAACUUGGGGUAAUACCGUAUGAUGCCGUAAGGCCAAAGAUUUAUCGCCCUUAGAUGUGCCCGCGUCGGAUUAGCUAGUUGGUGAGGUAAUGGCUCACCAAGGCGACGAUCCGUAGCUGGUUUGAGAGAAUGACCAGCCACACUGGGACUGAGACACGGCCCAGACUCCUACGGGAGGCAGCAGUGGGGAAUCUUGGACAAUGGGCGCAAGCCUGAUCCAGCCAUGCCGCGUGAGUGACGAAGGCCUUAGAGUUGUAAAGCUCUUUUGCCGGGGACGAUAAUGACGGUACCCGGAGAAUAAGUCCCGGCUAACUUCGUGCCAGCAGCCGCCGUAAUAC